UACGGGGGGAGCAAGCGUUGUUCGGAUUUACUGGGCGUAAAGGGCGCGUAGGCGGUCAGUGCAAGUCAGUUGUGAAAUCUCCGGGCUUAACUCGGAAAGGUCAACUGAUACUGCUCGACUAGAGUGCGGAAGGGGCAACUGGAAUUUACGGUGUAGCGGUGAAAUGCGUAGAUAUCGUAAGGAAGACCAGUGGCGAAGGCGGGUCUCUGGACAGUUCCUGACGCUGAAGCACGAAGGCCAGGGGAGCAAACGGG
rnacentral:rRNA from 1 species